UUAGGUGGCUAUAGCGCUGGGGUUCCACCUCUUCCCAUUCCGAACAGAGAAGUUAAGCCCAACUACGCCGAUGGUACUGCACACAAUGUGGGAGAGUAGGUAGCCGCCACUU
rfam:Paludibacter jiangxiensis DNA, scaffold: PJIAN_2, strain: NM7.